rnacentral:lncRNA from 1 species
CAGAUGCUGCCUCAGCAAGGGCCUGUGAGCAACAGUCCAUCUCAGGUUAUGGGGAUUCAGGGGCAGGUUCUGCGGCCACCAGGACCCAGCCCACACAUGGCCCAGCAACAUACUGAUCCUGCUACUACAGCAAAUAAUGAUGUCAACUUGUCUCAGAUGAUGCCUGAUGUUAGCAUGCAACAAACCAGCAUGGUCCCUCCACAUGUGCAGAGCAUGCAGGGAAACAGUGCUUCGGGAAGCCACUUCUCAGGCCAUGGAGUGUCUUUCAAUGCACCAUUCGGUGGUGCACCCAAUGGAACUCAGAUGUCUUGUGGUCAAAAUCCAGGCUUUCCAGUAAAUAAGGAUGUAACGUUAACAAGCCCAUUGUUGGUCAACUUACUGCAAAGUGACAUUUCAGCAGGUCAUUUUGGCGUAAACAAUAAACAAAAUAAUACCAACGCGAAUAAACAGAAGAAGAAGAAACCACCGCGGAAGAAGAAAAAUUGUCACCAGGAUCUAAACACCCCAGAUAGUCGUCCAGCUGGUCUAGAGGAAGUUGAUCAACAGUCAUUAC